rnacentral:rRNA from 1 species
AGUGAACGCUGGCGGUAGGCCUAACACAUGCAAGUCGAACGGCAGCACAGUAAGAGCUUGCUCUUACGGGUGGCGAGUGGCGGACGGGUGAGGAAUACAUCGGAAUCUACUUUUUCGUGGGGGAUAACGUAGGGAAACUUACGCUAAUACCGCAUACGACCUACGGGUGAAAGCAGGGGAUCUUCGGACCUUGCGCGAUUGAAUGCGCCGAUGUCGGAUUAGCUAGUUGGCGGGGUAAAGGCCCACCCAGGCGACGAUCCGUAGCUGGUCUGAGAGGAUGAUCAGCCACACUGGAAGUGAGACACGGUCCAGACUACUACGGGAGGCAGCAGUGGGGAAUAUGGGACAAUGGGCGCAAGCCUGAUCCAGCCAUACCGCGUGGGUGAAGAAGGCCUUCGGGUUGUAAAGCCCUUUUGUUGGGAAAGAAAAGCAGCAGGUUAAUACCCCGCUGUUCUGACGGUACCCAAAGAAUAAGCACCGGCUAACUUCGUG